GACGAACGCUGGCGGCGUGCCUAAUACAUGCAAGUUGAGCGCUGAAGGUUGGUACCUGUACCAACUGGAUGAGCAGCGAACGGGUGAGUAACGCGUGGGGAAUCUGCCUUUGAGCGGGGGACAACAUUUGGAAACGAAUGCUAAUACCGCAUAAAAACUUUAAACACAAGUUUUAAGUUUGAAAGAUGCAAUUGCAUCACUCAAAGAUGAUCCCGCGUUGUAUUAGCUAGUUGGUGAGGUAAAGGCUCACCAAGGCGAUGAUACAUAGCCGACCUGAGAGGGUGAUCGGCCACAUUGGGACUGAGACACGGCCCAAACUCCUACGGGAGGCAGCAGUAGGGAAUCUUCGGCAAUGGACGAAAGUCUGACCGAGCAACGCCGCGUGAGUGAAGAAGGUUGUCGGAUCGUAAAACUCUGUUGGUAGAGAAGAACGUUGGUGAGAGUGGAAAGCUCAUCAAGUGACGGUAACUACACAGAAAGGGACGGCUAACUACGUG
rnacentral:rRNA from 1 species